AAAAAAUAUCUAAAGGAGAUGGCUAAAUGACUGACCCAGGCAUAAUAACAAGAAUACGAAUUUCACGCUAACCCGUAUCAUUUAAAUAUUCACUUAUGAAUUAUUUUGUGUUUAACUAAUUCUUAUAACUUGGUGAACAAAAAUUAACAAAAAAUAAGUUUCAUAAUUGAUUUUUUUCUGUUGUGGUUUGACAUGACAACACGGAAGUAGGUACUGCAAGCUAUUAUUAGGACAUUAGUUUCCCCGAAAAUCAAAUCGAAAUAAUUAAACGAACAUCAAUUUUUAAUAACGGUAAUAUAAUGACUUUUUUCUGAAACCAAUUAAUUGUAAAUGUUUUGAUCGACACAAAAUAUAUAUUUUGUAUAAGAUUGCACAAUCUUACUAUAUAUUUUGUGUCUGUCCUUGGUUACUUUGUGUUCAUUAUCUAGUAUAUAAGCAGAAUUGUUUACCUAUCUACCUCAUAUAUAAAUAACUUUCGGCUCAGGGUCAUCAAAACGCCUUGGUAAAAGUUCAGAGCAAUGUUAUAUUUUGAAGUUUUUGUAACGUUGUUUGACGUAGAAGCGCUACUUUAUUUUCAGGAUUGCGCAGAUAUGCCAAGUUUCUGGACCUUCUUAACUACAAAAUAUCAAUCUUUAAUUAUGCGGCUUUAUUUAUUGCUAGGUACCAUAUUUAUACAAUAUUUAUUUGUACGGGUUACGACGUCCAUACUUUGGUUUAGCCAUGUCCUUUAAAUC